GGAAUUUUUGUCAAUGGGGGAAACCCUGAACAAGCAACGCCGCGUGAAGGACGAAGACCUUCGGGUUGUAAACUUCUGUCGGAGGGGACGAAAGCGGUCGAGGCUAAUAUCCUCGGCCGUUGACGGUACCCUACGAGGAAGCCCCGGCUAACUCCGUGCCAGCAGCCGCGGUAAUACGUAGGUGGCAAGCGUUGUCCGGAUUUAUUGGGUUUAAAGGGUGCGUAGGCGGCCUUAUAAGUCAGUGCUGAAAUAUCCCGGCUUAACCGGGAGGGUGGCAUUGAUACUGUAGGGCUUGAGUAAAGUUGAGGUAGGCGGAAUUGACGGUGUAGCGGUGAAAUGCUUAGAUAUCGUCAAGAACACCGAUAGUGAAGACAGCUUACUAAACUUUAACUGACGCUGAGGCACGAAAGUGUGGGGAUCAA
rnacentral:rRNA from 1 species